rnacentral:rRNA from 1 species
UACGUAGGUGACAAGCGUUGUCCGGAUUUACUGGGCGUAAAGAGCGCGCAGGCGGUCGUUCAAGUCGAGUGUGAAAGCCCCCGGCUCAACCGGGGAACUGCGUCUGAGACUGGAAGGCUUGAAUUCGGGAGAGGGAUGUGGAAUUCCAGGUGUAGCGGUGAAAUGCGUAGAUAUCUGGAGGAACACCGGUGGCGAAGGCGGCAUCCUGGACCGAGAUUGACGCUGAUGCGCGAAAGCCAGGGGAGCAAACGGG